GUGCUUGCUUUGGCAGCACAUAUACUAAAAUUGGAACAAUACAGAGAAGAUUAUCAUGGCCUCUGCGCGAGGAUGACACACAAAUUCGUGAAGUGUUCCAUAAAAAA
rnacentral:snRNA from 1 species